rnacentral:rRNA from 1 species
AUUGUUAAGGAUGGGCAUGCGUCCCAUUAGCUAGUUGGCGAGGUAACGGCUCACCAAGGCGACGAUGGGUAGGGGUUCUGAGAGGAAGGUCCCCCACACUGGUACUGAGACAUGGACCAGACUCCUACGGGAGGCAGCAGUAAGGAAUAUUGGGCAAUGGUCGGAAGACUGACCCAGCCAUGCCGCGUGCUGGAAGAAGGCCCUAUGGGUUGUAAACUGCUUUAGCCAGGGGCUAAACCUACCGAUGCGUUGGUAGCUGAAGGUACCUGGAGAAUAAGCAUCGGCUAACUCCGUGCCAGCAGCCGCGGUAAUACGGAGGAUGCGAGCGUUAUCCGGAUUUACUGGGUUUAAAGGGUGCGCAGGCUGUUGUUUAAGUCAGGGGUGAAAGCCCUAUGCUCAACAUAGGGAUUGCCUUUGAUACUGAACGGCUAGAGUGAAGAUGGAGUGGGUGGAAUGUGUUGUGUAGCGGUGAAAUGCAUAGAUAUAACACAGAACACCGAUCGCGAAGGCAGCUCACUAAUUUUCAACUGACGCUCAUGCACGAAAGCGUGGGGAUCAAACAGGAUUAGAUACCCUGGUAGUCCACGCUGUAAACGAUGAUCACUAGCUGUUGGUACGCUGAAGUAUCAGUGGCUAAGCGAAAGUGAUAAGUGAUCCACCUGGGGAGUACGACCGCAAGGUUGAAACUCAAAGGAAUUGACGGGGGCCCGCACAAGCGGAGGAGCAUGUGGUUUAAUUCGAUGAUACGCGAGGAACCUUACCAGGGCUCGAACGCAUGGGGGAUAUACCUGAAAGGGUAUAGCCAGCGAUGGUCGCCUGCGAGGUGCUGCAUGGUUGUCGUCAGCUCGUGCCGUGAGGUGUCAGGUUAAGUCCUAUAACGAGCGCAACCCCUAUCCAUAGUUGCCAGCGGGUAAAGCCGGGGACUCUAUGGGAACUGCCUGCGCAAGCAGAGAGGAGGGAGGGGAUGACGUCAAAUCACC